UGAUAUGGAUCAAUUGAUAAAAAAAGAUUCUUGACAAUAACCUCCUUACACUCUGGCUCAACUAUAAGGGAGAGGUUUUCGACUUUUAUCUCAAAGUCUGAUUCUUCUGGUGCACCAUUUAUGUUGGAUUUUAUUGCUACAUACUUGUUUUGAAUCCCAGAAUCUCCAGCUUAUUCAACAGUGAACCCUCUUUUACUCUAGUGUACUCUCCCCAGGUAAGAAGACCUGCUACCAAAUCAUCUUUCUUGAGGUCAGGCCGAUGAGAAACUAACACUCUUCCCACACCAUAAGUGUCAAUGGCAUCCCCGGGAGUAAUGGCAGCUGCAAAACUGAUAGCUGCUUGUGACGAACUUUGGCUCUUCAUCCGGUUUAUUUGAUAUGGAUCAAUUGAUACAUACAGAUUCUUGACAACAACCUCAUUAGACUCUGGCUCAACUAUAAGAGAGAGGUUUUCGACUUUUAUAUCAAAGUCUGAUUCUUCUGGUGCACCAUUUAUGUUGGAUUUUAUUGCUACAUACUUGUUCUUUACUUCCAUCUUGUAGGUAUCUUUUGGCUUGACACAAUAUUAUGAUAGGGGAAGAACUAAGUGCAGAAAAAUGUAAUUGGAAUACUUCAGAAAGGCUUAUAUGACAACCAUUGUUAGGUCUUUUUAUACUGAUGUAAAGCAUUGGUUCACUUUUUCCCGUGAAAAUUCUCAUUAGAUUAAUGUGGCAGGCUGCAGCAUCAAAAUAAAGAAAAUGACAAGCGCAUUGAUUCUGUUAUGCCAUCUUAAUUAAAACAGAUCGUCACUAGCAUCAAGAUUGUCACUAUAAUUUAAACAGAUUGUCACUAGAAGAAAAAGACAAUUAAGCGGCAGUCCUU
rnacentral:lncRNA from 1 species